GUUGUAGUGCAAUGGAUAGCACGUUGAACUUCUAAUCGAUAGGUCGUGGGUUCGAAUUCCGCCUGAAAUG
rnacentral:tRNA from 1 species